rnacentral:lncRNA from 1 species
GUCUGUCGAAAACUAAAAAGUAAAUAUUUAAAAAUUCUCUCUCUCUCUCUCUCUCUCUCUCUCUCUCUCUCUCUUUCUCUCUCUCUCUCUCUCUCUCUCUUUAAAACAACAACAACAACAAAAAGCAUAUGUGGGGAAAGUUGAUGCAACUCUACAAAUAUAAUAUUCAGAAUGUGUGAUAUAAUAAAAACUGAAACUACAUCCUUAGCUGAAAAUUGUUGCUUUUGUGAUGAAGUCACAAAAAUUUAUCUUAUGCUAUAUUUAGUGCUUUUGAAAAGAGUAUACUUUGGAAAAAGAAUCUGAAAAUAUGCCUAGCUGGAGUAAUGGAAAAGGAGUGUGGUACAUCAUGAAUCAAUAUAAGUUUAUGUUUGAGGAAAGCAAAAUUACCAGCACAGACAAUGAAAUGUUUCAAGCACUGUAAAAUGCAUUAAGUUCCAGGAACCAGACAGUUUUGUGUAAAAUACCCUUCAGAUUCAUUUUCCUCAUGAUAAUAAACAAUGUAAAAAUGUACUAAAAUAUAGAAAAAUUAUAUUCAGAGAAGCAUAUUAAGUCAGAGAAAUGAUAGCAUCAUAAUUGUUUCCAUGAAAAUAUUCUUGGAAAAGUAAACUUGAUACAACUAGUAUGAGGCUUAAAACAGCAUAUCCAGCUAUCAGUGGCCAAUGAGAAACAACUGAAAACUUGCAUCAAAACAUUUGGAAAAAGUCUCCUAAUAAAGGUCCUAAAAGCAAACACUGAAAUCACUCUGGCAUACUUGAUUAAGAUGAGAAAUCAUAUUGUGUGACUGCUGACUGUCCAUGUAUCCUCCAUACCUCUGCUCCAGGUAAACCCCUCAAAAAAGCCUAGAGGCUUCAAUUCUUCCAUGAGGCCUGAUCUUAUACUUUAACUUAGGUUCCUUCAUGGAUUGUUCUGAGAAUUGAGUUUACAUUUUUAAAGUGCUUGAAGCAGUA